AGCUGUGAGGGCGAUCUGACUGUGACAUCUGCCACCCCAUUGAUUGCCAGGGUUGAUUCGGCUGAUUCGACUGGCAAACCGAGUGUCCCCUUCCUCCCUCACCCUCCAUGUGUGCCCCUCCUGAAGCUGAAUGCUCAAUUGAAGAGGAUGCCCAUCCUCGCUAGAGAAGGACCAUUCACUUCUCCCUGCCAGGACCUCCAGAAAGCUGCUGGAGGUUCAGACACGCUGCAGGAAGGCUGGGAAAUGAACACAGUACCUCUGAAAAUGUGGAGACCGUGAGACAUUUU
rnacentral:snRNA from 1 species